CCUCGGGGGGCUGCAGUGGGGAAUAUUGGACAAUGGGCGAAAGCCUGAUCCAGCCAUGCCGCGUGUGUGAAGAAGGCCUUCGGGUUGUAAAGCACUUUCAGUGGGGAAGAAAGCCUUGGGGCUAAUACCCUCGAGGAAGGACAUCACCCACAGAAGAAGCACCGGCUAACUCCGUGCCAGCAGCCGCGGUAAUACGGAGGGUGCGAGCGUUAAUCGGAAUUACUGGGCGUAAAGCGCGCGUAGGCGGUCUGAUAAGCCGGUUGUGAAAGCCCCAGGCUCAACCUGGGAACGGCAUCCGGAACUGUCAGGCUAGAGUGCAGGAGAGGAAGGUAGAAUUCCCGGUGUAGCGGUGAAAUGCGUAGAGAUCGGGAGGAAUACCAGUGGCGAAGGCGGCCUUCUGGACUGACACUGACGCUGAGGUGCGAAAGCGUGGGUAGCAAACAGGAUUAGAUACCCUGGUAGUC
rnacentral:rRNA from 1 species